GGCGAAACGAAACUUGUGAAUCGUGCAUUUGCUCUUCAUGGUAGCUGCCAAAAAAUCGAAUCAAACUUAUGGGACACUGGAUUACAGGUUGCUGCCACUACUCCAUGUGCCCGCAAUUGUCUUGCGUGUAUGAUUACACUAACGGCGUCGCCCACCACGGCGGAAGUGUUUUGCGUACACUCGUUUCAGCAUGAAGCCUGCAGGUGGAUGUAAAUUGUAGAAGGCAGCUAGUAGGGGAGAAGAUCAUGGUCAUAGGUCAUGUGACUCCUGGAGCUCCCAGUGGGCUCCCUUGUGGAGUACUUUUCAGAACACACACACACACAGUUUG